AACAUUAAGAUAAUCUUUCCUCAUACAGGUGCUAAAAAUAAAGCCUCUUUUGCAACCCAGAACUCAUUGCUCAGUAUGAGUUUUGAUACAUAUAAGAAGGAACAUG
rfam:Myotis brandtii contig270061, whole genome shotgun sequence.